UUCUAUGAUGUCAGGGGAUGGUAAUAACAUUCUGGGGCGCUCAAAAGUCAUUCCUUUUUGCCACAACUUCAGCCAUGGAUCCAGGACUGGGUUGCCCUCAAAGGGCAAUUAAGAAACUGCAGUCAUCAUGAAGGGUCCAGAAAAAAAAUGCUGUUACUCUAAAAGUUAGUGCUCAGGUCCUGAGCUUCAGCUUUAAAGGUCAAGAAGUACUUCCUGGUUAAUUGGACAUGAGAAGACCACCAUAUAAAACUUUGUUUUGCCUCUUCUUAGGCUUACUUCUUAACAUGCCUCCGACUCCGGAGAUCAGUGCAGCGACUGACUGUGUCCGUGGAAUCUGUAAUGCCUUUCCACAGCAAAUGAUCCAGUUGAGCUGGACUUUGAGGGAUGUUUUUGAUAAUGUUUUAAUCUUGACAAUUUAGUUCAAGCUUUCUUUAGUGAAGCAUUUUGUUGUUCGCCUAGGAAUGCUACUUGUCCAAACUCUGAUUUGUUUCUUUUAGAUGUAACUGUCAUAGGCAUCAACAUCAAUGAUAAUAGAGAAUAAAUAGAGUUUACAGCAUCCAGUGCUGCUCCAGAAGAGGUCGUAUAUACAUAUAGAAAGGGGGGGAAGUGGAGGAAAAACAUGGGUAGAAAAUGCUUAAGCCUGUGAAAUGUGUUGAAUGUUGUUUAAUGAACUGGGGGCUCUUUGCCUUCAUUAUGAAAUGCAGUAUUUCAUGGUGGGUCAUUUAAAAGAGCUCCUGUUGGCAACCACCACCUUGAAUCAAUCAUUACACAUUCAUUAGUGCCUACCAUGUACCAGGCACUGUGUGAAGUGCUGGAGAUUCAGAAGGAGGCAAAAGAGAGUCCCUGCCCUGGAGAAGCUUCUAACUUAAUGGGGAAGACUUCUGCCCAAUCCAUUGUAAGUUCUACUCCUCUAAGAGGCUGCUUUUUACCCAGAACAGAUCUAGGACUAAGACUAGAGUUUGUCCUCUUCUGUAUGAAAACUGACCCUCUGAGUCUGGAGUCUCCAGAGAGGAGCAGCAGAAUGGCACUAAGUGCCCUCUAUCAACUUGCAUGGCACAUUCUUUCUGACAUCAGUGCUUUGCUGUGGUCAUCCAGAGUGAAUAGCAUAAAGAACUACCAGGUGUUACUCACCACCAAGAAAAAUAAUGAGAACUUUGCACUUAUGGGCACAUGCACAGAAACGAUUGCUUAAUGGGAGGUUUCACUUUUGAUCAGACACAGCAGUCUAAGGCUUGGUGGUGCUUCCCUCCAACUCAUAGCAUGGAUCCCCCAAAAGGCAAGUACUACAGGUCCACCUGAAAGGUCUGAACCUUUGCAUAGCAUCUUCAUAAACUUCCCCAUACCAGUGUUUAUGCCAGCAGAUACAAUCGCUCCAAAGCAAUAGAAUUUCAUGAAAUGCUGUACGGUGCACAAAGAGUGACAACACUUUUCCCCUGAUUCGGAGAUGGUUUUCCACGAAUACACUCAUUAUCAGUGGGAAGAAUGGAUCUUCUCAGGGAGUUCAUAUGAGAAGAAAUGUAAAGAAUGUGAGUGCUCAGAGCAUGCUGUGGAGGAGCACACAUGGAGAGAGAGAGCACGUGACUAGGAAACACAUUUGGAGGAAAAUUUGAUUUGAAGAAGCUUCACAGCUGCUGGUUUCUUUCCUUGGUGACAUCACAUUUCUCCCAGCAAGCCCCCUCUACACUGGCCUCAGAAUUUCUGCUGGAUAUUUUCCUGCUUGUGGUGGAUUUUCUUUAUGCCUCAUGAUUUUAACCUUUGACGGCUAGACAAUAAAACAGUACUGGCUGUCCUCUGGGGCUAUGACUCUACAGAUUUCUUAAUGGACUUCUGUCACUUCACUGAUGUUGCUGGAAGUAAACUGGCAUCCUACUGUCA